rnacentral:antisense_RNA from 1 species
CGGCGCUUGAGGCUUUUGCCUCAUAGCCGUUGGUAGCAGUGCUGAUUUGUUGUGAGGCAGAAAGCAGAAAAGCCCCGAAGUUAAUUUUCAUUAACCCCGAGGCCCCUGUAUGCAUGAACAACAUCAGGAUAGCCUCUUACCAGCCGCAAGGCAAGGAGAAGACGGCCAUG